CCUACGGGAGGCAGCAGUGAGGAAUAUUGGUCAAUGGACGAAAGUCUGAACCAGCCAAGUAGCGUGAGGGAAGACUGCCCUAUGGGUUGUAAACUUCUUUUAUGUGGGGAUAAAGGUGUCCACGUGUGGAUGUUUGUAGGUACCACAUGAAUAAGGAUCGGCUAACUCCGUGCCAGCAGCCGCGGUAAUACGGAGGGUCCGAGCGUUAUCCGGAUUUAUUGGGUUUAAAGGGAGCGUAGGCCGGUUUUUAAGACAGUUGUGAAAGUUUGUGGCUCAACCGUGAUAUUGCAGUUGAAACUGGAAACCUUGAGUACGGUAGAGGCGAGCGGAAUUCGUGGUGUAGCGGUGAAAUGCUUAGAUAUCACGAAGAACUCCGAUUGCGAAGGCAG
rnacentral:rRNA from 1 species